rnacentral:rRNA from 1 species
ACACUCCUGCGGGAGGCAGCAGUGGGGAAUUUUGGACAAUGGGCGAAAGCCUGAUCCAGCAAUGCCGCGUGAGUGAAGAAGGCCUUCGGGUUGUAAAGCUCUUUUGUCAGGGAAGAAACGGUGAAAGCUAAUAUCUUUUGCUAAUGACGGUACCUGAAGAAUAAGCACCGGCUAACUACGUGCCAGCAGCCGCGGUAAUACGUAGGGUGCAAGCGUUAAUCGGAAUUACUGGGCGUAAAGCGUGCGCAGGCGGUUUUGUAAGUCUGAUGUGAAAUCCCCGGGCUCAACCUGGGAAUUGCAUUGGAGACUGCAAGGCUAGAAUCUGGCAGAGGGGGGUAGAAUUCCACGUGUAGCAGUGAAAUGCGUAGAUAUGUGGAGGAACACCGAUGGCGAAGGCAGCCCCCUGGGUCAAGAUUGACGCUCAUGCACGGAAGCGUGGGGAGCAAACAGGAUUAGAAACCCGAGUAGUCCC